CAAUUGCAGCCGAUGGCGACUCAUUUGAAAAGGUCAGGGAAUCGAUAAGUGUAGAUGUUGACACUGUGGUGCGCAAUAAUGAGAAUAACGAGAAACAAGAUGAAUAUCAGGAGAGUUUGAAGACCAUGAACAAAGCAAGUGAAAUAUUACUUGGCUUUAUUAACAACCGCUCAGCAUUAACUCUCACCCAUGCUGACGUGUUAGUAGGAAUCUUCCCUUGGAAUAAGCCAGAAAUUAGUUUCAUGGAGAAAUUCAAUAUUGUUGACACAUGGAAGCUCUGGCAGCGGUCCCAGGAGGAAAAAGUGCAGUCGGAAAAAGAAAUGACGCAAUUUAUGAAAUCGUUGUACGACAUGCGAAUCAAAUAGCAAGAGGAUCGACAGAUGUAUCUUCAAGCUUUGUCUGGAUCAUCAUUGCAACAACUUGAAUUACAGUCAAAAGCCAAUAUUGUCUUAUUGAAGAUUAAUCGUCUUGCUAAUACUUUGGAGAAUGCCAUUUCCUCUUUCAGAAGAGAGUCUAGCUUAUCUGUAAUAAUCGAUGCCUGUGCGGAUCUUGAAAAUGACAAAGAAUCAGUAAUUCAAUACAAUGAGUUAGAAGAAGAAGACGACGAAUCUGAUUAUGAGUCUUCAUCAGUAGAUGAGGACGAUUAAUUUUGUAUGUUGUCAUUGUAAACCCAAUAAAUUACUUGAAGAGUCAUUUUUUUGUUAUUUCUAUAUAUUUGGAUAAUUUGUAAAAUACAAAUCUUCAUGAGGUGCACAAUACACUAAAUAUCAA